rnacentral:rRNA from 1 species
AGUGAACGCUGGCGGUAGGCCUAACACAUGCAAGUCGAACGGCAGCACAGUAAGAGCUUGCUCUUACGGGUGGCGAGUGGCGGACGGGUGAGGAAUACAUCGGAAUCUACUUUUUCGUGGGGGAUAACGUAGGGAAACUUACGCUAAUACCGCAUACGACCUACGGGUGAAAGCAGGGGAUCUUCGGACCUUGCGCGAUUGAAUGAGCCAAUGUCGGAUUAGCUAGUUGGCGGGGUAAAGGCCCACCAAGGCGACGAUCCGUAGCUGGUCUGAGAGGAUGAUCAGCCACACUGGAACUGAGACACAGCCCAGACUCCUACGGGAGGCAGCAGUGGGGAAUAUUGGACAAUGGGCGCAAGCCUGAUCCAGCCAUACCGCGUGGGUGAAGAAGGCCUUCGGGUUGUAAAGCCCUUUUGUUGGGAAAGAAAAGCAGCAGGUUAAUACCCCGCUGUUCUGACGGUACCCAAAGAAUAAGCACCGGCUAACUUCGUG